rnacentral:rRNA from 1 species
CACGGAGUUAGCCGAUCCUUAUUCUUACAGUACAUUCAGCUUCGGUCACGACCGAAGGUUUAUUCCCGUAUAAAAGCAGUUUACAACCCAGAGGGCCGUCUUCCUGCACGCGGCAUGGCUGGUUCAGAGUUGCCUCCAUUGACCAAUAUUCCUUACUGCUGCCUCCCGUAGGAGUCUGGUCCGUGUCUCAGUACCAGUGUGGGGGGUCAUCCUCUCAGAUCCCCUAGUCAUCGUGGUCUUGGUGGGCCGUUACCCCGCCAACUAACUAAUGACACGCAUGCCCAUCUUAAUCCUAUAAAUAUUUGAUCAUUGUACGAUGCCGUACUGUGAUUUUAUGCGGUGUUAAUCCGGAUUUCUCCGGGCUAUCCCCCUGACUUAAGGUAGGUUGCAUACGCGUUACGCACCCGUGCGCCGGUCUCAAUGAAGCAAGCUCCAUCUACCCCUCGACUUGCAUGUAUUAGGCCUGCCGCUAGCGUUCAUCCUGAGCCAGGAUCAAACUCU